AAUGAGACGGAGGACGGCGGAUGGGAAGGGGGCUCCUCCCACCUCUCCUGCGCCUGCGCCCGCGCCCCCUCGCUGGGCCGGCGCCGCCCGCCCCCGGGAGGAGACCCUGUGUACGCGUCCCAAGGCCUACGUCAGUGAGCACCGUCCAGGUCCAGAGACAGAACAUCACCUGCUCCCUGGAAGCUUCGCAGGGGCCCGUCUCCAGUCACAACCUCCUGGCGAGAGCAGCACCCAUUCUCUUGGCUUUUCCAUAAGCACUGCACAAGUUGGGGGUGCUCCACUUCUUUGAGCCAAGACUCCUUGGGCAAUCUGUACACAUCCAGCCAAAUCUCUCCGGCUCCUGCAUUGGGAAACCACGGACCCGUUGAGCAAUCACAAGCAGGCGAGAAGUCUCCUGUGAGG